UUAUAUGCUAAGUGACUUAACAUUCAGCUCCCUAAAUGAAAUUCUGAUUUUUAUUGAGGUUUUUAGCAUUCAUUGUUUUAAUUGAUUUUUUAAAAAUUUUUCUGAAUUUCUAGAUAUACACCUGAAGAAAUUGAGAAGCUCAAGGAGCUCCGGAUAAAGCAUGGCAAUGACUGGGCAACAAUAGGGGCGGCGCUAGGAAGAAGUGCAUCUUCUGUCAAAGAUCGGUGCCGACUGAUGAAGGAUACUUGCAACACAGGGAAGUGGACAGAAGAAGAAGAAAAGAGACUUGCAGAAGUGGUUCAUGAGUUGACAAGCACUGAGCCAGGUGACAUAGUCACACAGGGUGUGUCUUGGGCAGCUGUGGCUGAACGAGUGGGUACCCGCUCAGAAAAGCAAUGUCGUUCUAAAUGGCUCAACUACCUGAAUUGGAAACAGAGUGGGGGUACUGAAUGGACCAAGGAAGAUGAAAUCAAUCUCAUCCUCAGGAUAGCAGAACUUGAUGUAGCUGAUGAAAACGACAUUAACUGGGAUCUGUUAGCUGAGGGAUGGAGUAGUGUCCGUUCACCACAAUGGCUACGAAGUAAAUGGUG
rnacentral:sRNA from 1 species